GAAUAGAAGCUUCGAACCGAAGUCAUCGCUCGGCAACGGCGGUGCCGAAAAACAGAAUAUUACCGAGAUUUCAGCUUCCGAAGUCUUCGAAGUGGCGUUGAAUCAAUGGAGAUAGCUGGCGAAGACGGUUCAAAGUUAGUUCUACGAGAGCCAGUGACGACUUUUGGAAGAGGCUCAGGUUUUGCUUGCAAAGAUCGAACAGUUUCUCGUCGUCACAUUUUAAUCAAAGCUAAAACCUCUGAGAACAGUAAUGGAGUUCCCAUGGAGCCUAGGGUUUCCUUCGAGGUUAUCGGAAAGAAUCCUAUUUGGGUCCGGAGUGGAAAAAAUGGCGAAAUCAGAACAUUUAGAAGUUCGGAAAAGGGCGAGAUGGUGCCUGGCGAAUCGUUCUGCAUGGGCGGGCAGGAACCGAUGUGGUUCCAAUUAAACAAAAUCGCUGAAUUUGAAGAAGGGGAGAAAAUUUGUUCGCGUUCUUCUGAUUCGGAUGAUAUCGAUGUUUCUGGCAUUGAUCCUGUCAAAGAAUUUGGUUUUCUUGCCAAAGGACACGAGUUCGAAUGCUAUGGCAAUCGAGUGAUCCGUGAUGCAAAAAAGUGGGACUGGUUUUUGGAUGAGUGGAGAAAAGACAGCGACGACGACGAAGAUUAUGGAAGGAAACAGAAGAGCAGAGUAAGGGGAAAGAGGAAAAAAGGAGCAAACAAUGACGAUGAAGAUUGGACAGAUGAGAAUGAAGAUGCUGUGGAAAUGAUUACAAAAACAAAGAAGUUUCAAAGACCCCAAUACUCCACAAGGUCAAACGAUAGCAAUAAAACUCACAAGGAUCAAAAGAAGGCUGCUAAAUCUAAUAAAGACUAUGUUGAAGAAGAUGAGGAUGAUGAAACUUUAGGAGGUUUUAUUGUAGAUGAUGAAGUAGAUAAUGAAGAAUUGAUGGAUGAGGACGAAGACGAAGAAGAAUUUUCGGAUGGCGAGGAGGACGAUUGAUAUUGAUGACGAUCGAUGAAGCUAAUGUCUUUGGUCAGGCUGCUGCUAACAUAGGCUUGUUCUAGAGAGGUAGCUUCUCAGGGUGCCAUCAGAGGACCAGCAAUGAUCAAAUCCCAUCACCACCCCACUGCCUUCCCCAGCUUGAAACAUCAGCAGAAGGAUCUAAGGCUUGCUUGCUCUGGCUUUGCCAGAAUCUGUUUCUCAAUCCGCUUCUAUGUCACGGUCACGCUUGUCUAGGGCGUGUUGUCUAUGGCCGUAUGUCCAUGCCAUGUCAAAUCCUUUAUUUACUUUCUUGUUGUAUUGCUUUUAUAACCGUUCGACGAUCUCUGCCCUAUUUUCUAAAAUUUUCUCCUCAAAAUAGGGCCGAGGCUUGAACAUGCAUUGCCUGGUCGUAGGCGAUACAAUUUUGAGUUGGUUGACUCAUUCGGGGUUGAGAGUGAGUGCCACACAAUCGCUAGUUUGCUUUAAAAAAAAAAAGUGCAAUUGUGACAAGAUAGCCAAAUCUCAUGGCUUGGUCACUCGGACUCUUUUGCCUGACACUUUCAAAGAUGUCAUAUACCAAAUUAGCCAGCAU